UACGUAGGGUGCAAGCGUUGUCCGGAUUUAUUGGGCGUAAAGAGCGUGUAGGCGGCUUGGCAAGUCCGCUGUGAAAACUCGAGGCUCAACCUCGAGACGUCGGUGGAAACUGCCUCGCUAGAGUCCGGAAGAGGAGAGUGGAAUUCCUGGUGUAGCGGUGAAAUGCGCAGAUAUCAGGAGGAACACCGAUGGCGAAGGCAGGUCUCUGGGCCACUACUGACGCUGAGAAGCGAAAGCGUGGGGAGCGAACAGG
rnacentral:rRNA from 1 species